rnacentral:rRNA from 1 species
AGUGAACGCUGGCGGUAGGCCUAACACAUGCAAGUCGAACGGCAGCACAGUAAGAGCUUGCUCUUACGGGUGGCGAGUGGCGGACGGGUGAGGAAUACAUCGGAAUCUACUUUUUCGUGGGGGAUAACGUAGGGAAACUUACGCUAAUACCGCAUACGACCUACGGGUGAAAGCAGGGGAUCUUCGGGCCUUGCGCGGUUGAAUGAGCCGAUGUCGGAUUAGCUAGUUGGCGGGGUAAAGGCCCACCAAGGCGACGAUCCGUAGCUGGUCUGAGAGGAUGAUCAGCCACACUGGAACUGAGACACGGUCCAGACUCCUACGGGAGGCAGCAGUGGGGAAUAUUGGACAAUGGGCGCAAGCCUGAUCCAGCCAUACCGCGUGGGUGAAGAAGGCCUUCGGGUUGUAAAGCCCUUUUGUUGGGAAAGAAAAGCAGCAGGUUAAUACCCCGCUGUUCUGACGGUACCCAAAGAAUAAGCACCGGCUAACUUCGUG